AAGCGCAGCGAUGCGUUGAGCUAACCGGUACUAAUGAACCGUGAGGCUUAACCUUACAACGCCGAAGGUGUUU
rnacentral:rRNA from 5 species